AUUGAACGCUGGCGGCAGGCCUAACACAUGCAAGUCGAACGAGUGGCGGACGGGUGCGUAAUGUCUGGGAACCUGCCUGAUGGAGGGGGAUAACUACUGGAAACGGUAGCUAAUACCGCCUACCAUCGGAUGUGCCCAUAUGGGAUUAGCUAGUAGGGGGGGUAACGGCGCACCUCGGCGACGAUCCCUAGCUGGUCUGAGAGGAUGACCAGCCACACGGGAACUGAGACACGGUACAGACUCAUACGGGAGGCAGCAGUGGGGAAUAUGGAACAAUGGGAGCAAGCCUGAUGCAGCCAUGCCGCGUGUAUGAAGAAGGCCUUCGGGUUGUAAAGUACUUUCAGCGGGGAGGCGUUACCCGAAGAAGAAGCACCGGCUAACUCCGUGCCAGCCGCCGCGGUAAUAC
rnacentral:rRNA from 1 species